UACAGAGGUCCCGAGCGUUGUUCGGAUUCACUGGGCGUAAAGGGUGCGUAGGUGGUGAGGUAAGUCGGAUGUGAAAUCUCCAAGCUCAACUUGGAAAUGGCAUUGGAAACUACCUUGCUGGAGGUUUGGAGGGGGGACUGGAAUUCUCGGUGUAGCAGUGAAAUGCGUAGAUAUCGGGAGGAACACCAGUGGCGAAGGCGACUUCCUGGCCUGUUCUUGACGCUGAGGCGCGAAAGCGUGGGGAGCAAACAGG
rnacentral:rRNA from 1 species